CCUACGGGAGGCAGCAGUGAGGAAUAUUGGUCAAUGGGCGCGAGCCUGAACCAGCCAAGUCGCGUGAGGGAUGACUGCCCUACGGGUUGUAAACUUCUUUUAUAGAGGAAUAAAGUGAGGCACGUGUGCCUUUUUGUAUGUACUUGAUGAAUAAGGAUCGGCUAACUCCGUGCCAGCAGCCGCGGUAAUACGGAGGAUCCGAGCGUUAUCCGGAUUUAUUGGGUUUAAAGGGUGCGUAGAUGGGUUGUUAAGUCAGGUGUGAAAAUUUGGGGCUCAACCGCAGAACUGCCAUUGAUACUGGAAGUCUUGAGUACAGUUGAGGUAGGCGGAAUGCGUGGUGUAGCGGUGAAAUGCUUAGAUAUCACGAAGAACUCCGAUUGCGAAGGCAGCUUACCA
rnacentral:rRNA from 1 species